AAACCGUGUCCAUUACGGCUCCGAUUGCGGACCUCUGGCAAGAACACGCGUCUCCUUGGCCCAAAAUGGUUGACUCCAGGAGCUCGGUUUCCUCACCACCGUCAUCCCUAUAUGUAAGCUCCAACGUCAGAGAGUUUGGAGAGAAAGCAACAAUAUAUCUCCUCUCUGACUCACUAGAAUAAGCCCAGCUACCACAUGCCCCCCCGCCUUCUUCUUCUCCUCCUUCUCCGCUGAAAGAAUUGUGACGGCAUUAGGGGGAGAGCUAGUAAGAAGACCUGCGAGAAGCUGCGGUAUUGGCCACUCUGCGGUGCUACAGAAUGGCGGAGGGGGGCGGCAGGUGCAGCGGAUCCGAGAUGCUGAACGGGGACCGCGGGGGAUGGACCGAUUAAUCACCCGGGCGCAAGUUCUGCCAGCAUCAGGACCACUACGAGACAGAUCUGGAAUUAGGCUGUUCUGUCUUGAGGAAACGUUGGACCGCACCACUUAGACAUGUAAGGGGACAUGUAUUCUACACUGUGGGCUACCUUUCAGACACAUUUAUGGAACUGUUAAAGCUGACUUGAAGACGUGUUUCGCGCGUGCUCCUAAUUAAGUGUGCUAGUCACAUUUGCUGCAAGGCGAUACACCAACGCGGGGACAAUUCCCAUGAUGCCACCACUGAAAAGGUUAAGACAUAGCCUAUAAUCAAGCCAGCUAUACGCGUCUAAUAUUGAUAAAUUAACGUCUGAAUGCGUUUUCCUGUGCAUACAUUAGUGCGCAACUUCCAGGAUGAUCGUAUUGGUCGUUUCGCCGCCGUCGCGUGACGGUGCCUGUCCGUGUGUUCUGAGCCUUGAGCGGUUCUAUGCUGCCUGCCGACACUACGGAAUCCAGCGCGCCUCAGACAUAACGGAAUAACGGGACAUAGUAUCGGGCUGGGGGCUGGAUCGGUGGCUCCGCUGUGGUGCAGAAUAGGCCACCUUGCACUCCACCGGCUUGAGAAAGGCAAUAGAACGCAGAGCGUUCUGGUUUCCCUCAAUAUAGAGAUCUGUCAACGUUCUUCUGUCUUAUCAAACGGUUUGGACCUCUACACAUCGACACAAAUUGGGGUUAUUGGAACAUAUGGACAUAGAGAGAGGUAGAGAGAGAGGGGAGGAGGAUCAAUACCUCACAUCUUCUCUUUCAUCCCUGCAGCACAAACUACAAGUGUGGAGCCAGUUGAUUUUUUCUCCUCAGCAUCAGAGAGGGAAUGCUGCAAUCUACUGACUCCAUGUUAAUUCAGACUCAACAAAACAAUAUGUCCUUGUAGAAAUGAUCAAGAGCUACAAGGGAUUCUGUUUCCACGAAGGACCUCAUGAAUAGGGAUUUCUUCCUCACUUGACUAACAAGGCAUUCAUAAUUGUUUUUUUUAAAUCUAUAUGAAUGGUGUUCAUUAAUGCUAACCCAUUAAUAACAGAUAAAGUUAUAUUGAAACUCUUGAUUCAUUUAAUACACUUUGAAGACCCAUGUUAUAAGGUUUUGAGACAUUAGCCAUGUUUAUAAACCACACAGAGGGACUCACAGAAUAAGAUAUUUGAGAAUGUGAAAGAAAGAGGUGGGUGGGUUUCUUGGUUGGAGUGUGAGCUGAGAUGUGCCUCGAUCCUAGCAGAGUAAAUGAAGUGAAAUAAUCUUGAAAACUACAUGCAGGGAAGAGCUUAGCGGUGGAGGUAGACACUGAGAAAAGUGCAUUGUGCAGUCAACCAUUCCAGAAGUGAGAAGCCGUCGGCUGUCACCAGCCAGUGCAUAGAGAGGAGACCAGUCCAGUGAUGCUGGAUGAUCGCUUUAACCAUCCUCUGAUCUUAAGACUUUGGAUGAGGCUUCUUUGUAUUUACUGGGUUAGCUGAACUCACAAGGAAUAUAUUAGAGUAGAGAGUACAACGUGUCCAUCACGUAAAAGCUCAGAUCCACAGGCAGAGACAGAAGGACUGUGAGAGCUGUACAAUAAGAACAGAUUGGCAGUUAGAGCUGUUAGCUUUUUGAAUUCCACUCAGGCCAUAGAGUGGAUAUUCCAAUCUGCUAAGCUAAAGCCACUGGGCCACUGCAGAGUAUUUUGACUCAUCUAUAUUUUGCACUUUUGGUGUUCAAAUCCCCUCCUCUUCAUUUUUUCAAUAUUUUUCUUGGAAUGGAUGACUAAGACAAGACAGAGCUCCUGGAACUCUUUUCUUAAGGAAUGACUCACCAGAUUACUAAACCAAAAGCAACAACAGAGGAUGGGAGAGGUUUUUUUGGUGGGGUAAUUUUUCUCUUCAUCAAAUUAACUGUCAUAUAACAUAAUAAUAAAAUAACAUUAUAAGAGUAUCUUCAAGAAUCUUACUCUUAAGACACAGAAAUACAUGAUCUGCUGAUCUAUAACUGAACAAACCAACCUAUCACAAUAUUCUUUCUUCUUCUUUUGAAUUAUGGAGAUUCCAAGGUGAUGCUAUUUCAGAAGUAUGCCUUGGGGACCCAGAAGGAUAUUGUGAAAUUGCCGGGAACUCUUAUGUUAAACUACAGAACCUGAAAUGGAAAGAUGUCAGUUCUUCUUGAACAGAGCCUCAUCUCUAAGUCUGCCAUCAAUUCUCCACACUUUUCCUUUGGAUAUAAAUAAAUAACUUUUAAACAGACUAUUACACAAAAAUCAGAUUUGGUGACAAUUAGUUAAUAUGAUUUUAGAGGAUGGUCUCUGACCCCUUCAAGAUUCCCUGACCUGAUUGGACCAACUAUAUGUUGGAGGCACCAAACAACGUCUCUGGCAGGACAAAGCAGAGAACUAUAACACAGUGAUCCUCUAGAAGGACCUUUUUAAAGUCACCCCUCUCCCCCCCACUCUUUUCGGGUGGGGGGGAGGGCAUAGCAGAUAGCCUAUCACAGCUCAGGACUGGUCCAUUCGUUAGCCAGUUAGCCUAUCAAAGCUCAGGACUUGUCCCUUCGUUAGCCUGUAAGCCAAUCACAGCUCAGGACUGGUCCUUUAAUUAACCAUUAGCAUGGAGGCCAGUCAGGGUAAUAAUCAGGGCAGCCCAGAGAGCCCUAACCGGGCUGUGGAAUACCUCCUGGAACUGAACAACAUUAUAGAGAGCCAGCAGAAGCUCCUGGAGACCCAGCGACACCGCAUCGAUGAGCUGGAAGUCCAGUUAGACCGCCUGGCCCAGGAGAAUAAAGACCUACGUCUGGACCGCCAGCGACCUCCACCCCCUGAACCACCUCCUCCACCUUGCCCCAUGCCCGCCCCUGCAACAAAAACCAGCCACACAGCCAUUCCCUCUGUGCCAGUCCGACCGAUCCAGACCCAGACCCAAUCCUCCUUCAAUAGUACCAGUACCAACACUACAGCCAUACCUGCCCCACCACCGCCUCCGGUGCCAGUACGGGACCAGCGCACCUCGCAAACCCCUAAGACCCCCCGGCGUACCCCUCACACCCCCCAAACGCCCAAACGUACCCCUGUCAUCACCCAGACCCCCCGGACACCUCAGACCCCGAAGCGGAGCUCGCACACGCGGCUGACGCGGACCAUCUCGACCGGGACGGGGACCAGCUUCGUGGAGAUGGAGAAGGAGAGGAUUGAAAGACUCCAUAGCUCCACCUUGGGAAACCCCACAAGCCACCAUCAUGGCCACAGACAGUCUGACGGACAUCCCAACAAAGAAAGUGUGGAAGAGCCUCAAUGUGGUGACCCAGGCAGUUUCUCCGACAGCACCUGUAGCCAGGGGUCCUACCUGGGCAGCUCUGACCACCGUUACAGCGGCGGUCCAGGACCACAACCCUACCAGCACCACCCCCAGGGUUCCCCGUUGCCCCCCCCCAGCCCUGCCUCCCUGGUCUGGGCCCAGAGGACCAGACUCCAGCCUGCCAGCCUGGCGCUCCGGAAGCAAGAGGAAGAGGACAACAAGCGCUGCAAAGCCCUGUCCGACAGCUAUGAGCUUUCUACUGACCUACAAGACAAGAAGGUGGAGAUGCUGGAGAGGAAGUAUGGUGGCUACUUCAUUAGUCGGCGGGCUGCGCGUACCAUCCAGACGGCGUUCCGCCAAUACCGCAUGAACAAGAACUUCGAGCGGCUGAGAAGCUCCGCCUCUGAGAGCCGCAUGACACGACGCAUCAUCCUGUCUAACAUGAGACUGCAGUACUCAUUUGACGAGAGGCAGGGCCAAGACCAGGGGGGACAGGCUGGGCAGAGAUACACCCACCCUGGAGUGGGGCAGGCUGGGGAACCAGAGAUGGAAGCAGGGUCUCCUCCAAGACGCCAGGGAGACAGAGAGGAGUACACACACCUGGAUGAGAGCUUCUCUAAACAGGUAAAGUCCCUGGCUGACUCCAUUGAUGACACUCUGACCUGCCAGUCAGGUGUAGAAGACUCUCAGGAAGAGGAGGAUGAAGAGGAAGAGGAAGAGGAGGGUGAUGGAGGGGAAACAGGGGUGGAGGCGCACGACUUCGGAGAGUGUCUAUGGAGGCCGAGGGAGCCGGACAGACAGCGGUGCGGAGGAAGAGGAGGAUCGGUAGGAAGAGGAGGAGAGAGGCGGAGCAUGCAUGAGGACAGCACGGCCACCUCAUACAGUGACGUGACCCUCUACAUGGAUGACGGGCUCCCGUCCUCGCCCCUGUCGCUCGACCGCGGCCCCAGCAGCACGGACACGGAGUACUGGAGCGCCGGGGUGGGCAGUGGGGUGGGGGGGCGCGAAGACAGCCGGGACACGGAGGGCGGCGGCAGCAGCACCAGCCGGCGUAGCACGCCCUGCACCGACUGCCGGGAGUACCGCAUGAGAGGGGCCCACCUGCCCGUGCUGACCAUCCAGCCCCCCAGCGACAGCUCCGUGGACAUGAGCGACCGCUCCGAGAGAGGCUCCGUCGGCAGGCCCGGGGGAGGGGGAGCUGUGUCGCCCCAGGGUACCAUUAAACACAACCCCAACGGACGCUCCGGCCCCGCCCCCGCCCCCGCCCAGGCCCAAGGACAGACCCGUACCGUCCUGCCCCCUCGGCCCCACCCCUCCGCCAUCCCAUCCCACAUACCUCAUCACACCAUCUUACACCACCACCACCAGCUCCCCCAUCAUCCUCUACACCACCACCCGAUACACCACCAUCACCCCUACCCCGACACUCCCUCCUCAUCCUCCCAGUCCCCCCAGGGGCCGCCCCUCACCCCCCUGUCCUCCUCCUCUUCUGCCACCCUGCCUCCUGGCGGCCUGGAGCAGGUCUGCUGUUCGGACGGAGACAACGACUCUCUCAACUCCACCACCAACUCCAACGAGACCAUCAACUGCUCCUCAGGGUCCUCGUCACGUGACAGCCUCCGCGAGCCCCUCCCACCGCUGGGGAAACAGACCUAUCAGAGGGAAAGCAGACACAGCUGGGAUAGUCCCGCCUUCAACAACGAUGUGGUGCAGAGACGUCAGUACCGCAUUGGUCUAAAUCUCUUCAACAAGAAGCCAGAGAAGGGAAUCCAGUACCUGAUAGAGAGAGGCUUCGUGUCAGACACACCAGUGGGAAUCGCCCGCUUCAUCCUGGAGAGGAAAGGCCUCAGCAGACAAAUGAUCGGAGAGUUCCUGGGAUGCAGGCAGAAACAGUUCAACAAGGAUGUCUUGGAUUGUGUGGUGGAUGAGUUGGACUUCUCAGGGAUGGAUCUGGACGAUGCUCUCAGGAAGUUCCAGGCUCAGGUCAAGGUUCAGGGGGAGGCUCAGAAGGUGGAGAGACUGGUAGAAGCCUUCAGUCAACGGUACUGUGUCUGUAACCCGGUGCUGAUCCAACAGUUCCAGAACCCUGACACCAUCUUCAUCCUGGCCUUUGCCAUCAUCCUCCUCAACACAGACAUGUACUCUCCCAACGUCAAACCGGAGAGGAAGAUGAAACUCGAGGAUUUCAUCAAAAAUCUUAGAGGGGUGGAUAAUGGCCAAGACAUUCCCAGAGACCUGCUGGUGGGCAUCUACCAGCGGAUAGAGAAAUGGGAGCUUCGCACCAACGACGAUCACGUUUCCCAAGUACAGGCUGUGGAGAGGGUGGUGGUCGGCAAGAAGCCUGUGCUGUCCCUGCCCCACCGCCGGCUGGUUUGCUGCUGUCAGCUGUAUGAAGUUCCCGAUCCUAACAGAAGCCAAAGAACUGGAGUUCACCAGCGAGAAGUCUUUCUCUUCAACGACCUCCUUAUGGUAACCAAGAUCUUCCAGAAGAAGAAAACAUCUGUGACCUAUAGCUUCAGACAGUCCUUUCCUCUGGUUGAGAUGCAGGUUCACAUGUUUCAGAACCAGUACUACCCCCACGGUAUUCGCCUGACGGCGGCCAACCCUGGUGGGGAGAGGAAAGUCCUCAUGGUGUUCAAUGCUCCCAGCCAGCAGGAUAGAACACGCUUCACCUCUGACCUCAGAGAGAGUAUUGCUGAGGUACAGGAUAUGGAGAAGUACAGAGUGGAGGCUGAGCUGGAGAAGCAGAAAGGUGUGAUGCGACCGAUGGUGGGCGGGGCUAGCACUGGCAGUCCAUGUGGCGUUAAGGGUGAGGUGGUGAACGGCACUCUGGGUAGGCCUAGCCUAGAUGACAGCUACGCAUCGGCAGAUGGACUGAAGCGCACAGCGCUCAGCUCAUCACUGAGAGACCUAUCCGACACAGGGAAGCGGGGCCGUCGGAACAGUGCUGGUUCUCUGGACAGCACCAUGGAAGGCUCCAUCAUUAACAGUCCUCAGCCUCACCAGCGCCCUCACAUGGCUGGGAGUGUAAUGUCACCCGGCUGCUACGACAUCCAAGACUACCGGCCUCACCGCCCCAUCCUGAGCCCCGGAUUGGGGGUGGGGGGUGGGCCGGGGCUAAAUCACCAUACCGCUACUGGGACGACGGCACUGGGUCCCAGCAGCGGAGACCGAGGGGCGAUGGGGGCCCCGGGGAGCGUAUCUGGAGGGGGAGGGGCCAGUGGAGGCUCCUUCCUGGGGUCCCUGUUCGGGAGCAAACGCUCCGUCACCAAACCGCCAGGUCCUCUCACCCCUCUCCUCCCUCCUGGGCCACCACACUACCCUGCACCUGUCCCCCCGCCUACCACCGGAGGCCCGCCCCCACCCUCCCCCUCCGCCCUCACCCACUCCGAUCCAGGAGGGCCCUCCAAGAUCCAGGCCCUGCACGCCCAGUACUGCCACAGCAACACUGGGCAACAGCCUCCGCCACCCUACCACCACCACCACCGCUACCACGCCCAGAGCGGGCCCGCUCCCAGCCAGCCCUGCUCCACCACCCAGGGGGCCCCUGGGCCUCCAGCUCUUCUCAGGGGCCCCAUGGUGGGGGUCCCCAGGUGGUCGGGCCCCGGUCCCGCUCCCUCCCACCCCCAGCUUCAGCAGCUCUCCCAGGCACUGCAUGGUCCACAGGGGGGGCGCUAUACCCACAUGGCGGGUGGCUGCCCCCCUCCGCCCCUCUCUCCUCACUCCCCAGGGCCCGCGCCCCUCACCCUCUACCACACACACUCCACACACGGCCGGGGAGGCGGCGGAGGCGCCAAGCUCCCGCUUACUCUGUCACACUCGCAGCCCCACCCCCUCGCCCACACGCACGCCCCCUAUCAUACCGCUCUUUCCCACAACCUGAGCCCCCACCCGGGGCUGUCGCUCAGCCCCCACCCUGGCGCGCACUCCCAGCACCAGACCCACUUCGUGUUCGCCGCGCCGCCCCCACCGACACCCGUCGCCCGUCACAUCCCGCAGGCCGCCGCCCACGGCCACGCCCAGUACCUCCCGCAGUACCCGCCGCUCUCCUCCAUUCCGCCUCCCCCUCCGCACUCGCCCUUGCCCCCGCCUUCCUCCCCGCUCACUCCGCUCACCCCUCUCUCCCCUCGCGCCCUCCCCUUCCAGUCGCAGGCGGGGCCGGGCCCCCAGGCGGGGCCUGGCGGUGGGGGCAGCAGCACGGGGACGGGCAGUACCAGCAGCUCCAAGUCCAAACCUGUCAACCGCAUCAGCACGGUGGUGUGACCGUCAGGAGACGCCGCGACUCCUCCGGACAGCAGGGGGCGCCGCUGGUCAGAGUGAGGCCGCCGGACGGGGACAGCUUCAGGUUUAAGAAGGGCCAUGCCCAGAUCAUCCAGUAUGGCCGCCGGCGUUCGGGUAGAGGCAGGAAGAGGAGGCGGAGUCUGCUCAGGCUGUGUUACUUCCACGUGCGGUUCCCUCACAGGUUCAGGUUCAGGUAGACUCAUGCGCCACGGGCCGGAUGGGAGAACCAACACUGCUGCGGCACAGGGCCACCUCACCACAACACCAUGAAUGACACGGUGAGGAGGCAGAGCUAGAGGUCAGGUCUGUCUCACCAUCCAGACUCACUGCCCCUGGAGGAAGUCUGUAAUGCACAGCCCACUGGAAGAUCUGCACCAUGUCUCCCUCUACAGGACAGGAGGUUGCUAGUUGACAUGUGACUGAAGGGGGAUGGAGAGAGUGAUGGUGUGUUGUUUAGUGGUGCUGAAAGGGGAUGAGAGAGUGAUGGAGUGUGUUUAGUGGUGCUGAAGAGCUGUCACCGUGGGGCAUGUUCUGGAUGACCUCAUCCAUGACCUCAUCCAUGACCAUAUCCAUUACCUUCUUCUCUCAGAGUAGGAGCAUAAGUCAGCCCCCACUAAGCCACGCUUCCAUUUUUUAUUCAUCUGGAUAGGUUCACUAUGGCCCGCCAUGACCAAUGAGGUUUCCCACUCUGGGUAUCCCCUUUGCAGGCUGUUAAGCAGACCAUUGUGGGCCCAUGUGAAUAAAAAGACCCAUCUUUGUUGGAGCUGUCUUAGUUCCUUUACUGUCUCAGGCAUAUGAUAGCAAGAGGUGCCAAUCCUGGGGAUCCAGAACGUGGACCGGCCAAUCAGGAAGUAGACAGGAAAUUGAUUGGUAUAUCAGGAAGUGGAUAGACACUCACAUGGCCAGUUUAUGUUUGGCACAGAUGCAACAUGGCUUUGAACUGUAUGUGGUUGAGUAUUGCAACAGACAUGCUGGUUAAGAUUCAGGUCACUGGUUGAGCAUUGCAACAGACAUGCUGGUUAAGAUUCAGGUCACUGGUUGAGUAUUGGAACAGACAUGCUGGUUAAGAUUCAGGUCACUGGUUGAGUAUUGGAACAGACAUGCUGGUUAAGAUUCAGGUCACUGGUUGAGUAUUGGAACAGACAUGCUGGUUAAGAUUCAGGUCACUGGUUGAGUAUUGGAACAGACAUGCUGGUUAAGAUUCAGGUCACUGGUUGAGUAUUGGAACAGACAUGCUGGUUAAGAUUCAGGUCACUGGUUGAGUAUUGCAACAGACAUGCUGGUUAAGAUUCAGGUCACUGGUUGAGUAUUGGAACAGACAUGCUGGUUAAGAUUCAGGUCACUGGUUGAGUAUUGGAACAGACAUGCUGGUUAAGAUUCAGGUCACUGGUUGAGGUAAAUGCAGGUGUAUUGUGUUGUUAGCCUUGAAAAGUGUAAUGUCAUAAAAAGCAAUGCAACAUGUCUAGAAAACAGUCAGACACAAAGAUGAGCCAGAGGAGGUUGUUUGGUGAAGACUUAACAAGGCUUGUGGAACGAGUCAGAAGAAAGUGGAUGUGUUGUUGGUCACUAGGGUCAGGGUUCUUUGACCAGCAGGUUUACCUAACAGAUAGAUAUACAACAUACUAGAGCAUGUGAAACACCAAAGUCAUACCACCUAUAUAGAGAUGUAAACAUUUCCUGGACUGGACACUUGGUUGUGGAGCCAGUGUACUGCCACUGGUUACAGCUUGAUUCCCACAGGCCUGGAUUCACUCCAAUCCCACAUUAUCAUUGUUUAAAACAGCGUGAUUGGAUAAGGUGGUCUAGUUUAAAACAGCGUGAUUGGAUAAGGUGGUCUAGUUUAAAACGACGUGAUUGGAUAAGGUGGUCUAGUUUUAAACAAGCCCAUCAUGCAUGUUCUCUUGGCUCCUCCAUUUCCUAAACCUUUUAAAUAUACAACCCCGAACUCGCGGGCCUAGGACUACAGACUCAGAGUGUUACAUCAUAGACCCUCCCAACUGAGUGUCACGAAAUAAACAGUCCACAAUGUCUUCUGAUAUUUACACUGGAAGACAAAAGGGGAACUGCCCCUAGUUUUAUCAAAUAAUUGUCAAGCUUCUUCUUGGAAUCUUUUUGGAGAGUGGAACAACCCCAACCGUAGGCCUUCUUCUGUCAACAGUAGAUUCAUUGUACUGGGUGUUUGUUAUUAUCAUUAUAAACAAUACUGAAUGUCAAUUAUUAUCUUCUUAAUUGAUAGUACACUAAAAUAUUCUUAUAACACGUGCAGUGCAAUUUUUCAUUGGUAUAACAAUAUUAGUUCUGAACACCAGUGGCUAGCAUUUGGCACCCAGUAGGUGAUAGGACAUCUAUACCCCUAAUAACCCUGUCUUGUAGUUUACACAAGCUAUUAGCAAGUUUUUGUAUCGUGAAGUGUUUGACAUCUGAUUACUAACACCACAACUCUCUCAACACCAUCCAAAUACUCCAAAUGAGCAGUUGCUGUAGUCAUGGAAAUAAGUCAUUUUACACUUUGUUGAAUUACUACUGGCUGCCACGAAAAUGAAGAUUUUAAUGAUGCAAAAAUAAUAAACAUCAAGAAAAUGUAUUAUACUUUGUUUGAAUAUAUGCUUGUAUUUUAACAAACUCUUUCUUUUUACUGCACAUGAAAAAACUGCUCUUAAAAAUAUAUAUUUUUGAAUGAAGCAACAUGAAAGCAUAACAAACCAUAUUCUUUCCAGGUCAUUCUUUUACUAGACAUUGAUUGUAGUUGAGAGGAAUGCAUUUUUGUGGUUGAACACAGAAUUGUUGGGAUAAAUAACUAUGAAGACAUUUCCUACUUCCUGCUAUUGUCAGUGUGGUGUAACUGUUACUACUCCUAUUAACUAAUGUUUUGGCCUGUUUUGUAAUACUGUUCUUGGUUAAAUUUUUUGUAUUGUGUUUGAAGAUGCGAUUGGUGUUCAUUUGACUGGUCAUUUGACCAGUGAAACUUCUGCUGUCUGAUUUGAUCUCCGUAUACGGCUACUAACUAGCAUGACAUGCUAACUCCCGCUCGCUAACAUAGCGUCCGUCUUCAUGUGGACUGUGGUUAACAGGACUAAUGACACACACAAACACACACACACACACACCUUUAUUCACAGUUACACACACAUAUAUGCACAUGAAACACACAUUUGGUUUCAAGCAUCCCCAUAGGGUGGAGGUGUUGCUUUCUCUUGAAGGUUUUGUGGUUUUUGAACACAACAGAGGCUGUCUGUCAGUGCCUCUCGUCCAAUCCCGCUGCAGCGCACCAACUUCCUACAUUCAACUUCCUGGUCUCUGCACCCCUCCAUGACCCCUCCCCUUUCUCCUUUCUAAGCCAGCCCUCCCCAUCAGCCUCCCCCCAAAACCACGACCCAGGCAUGACUGCUUUCUGAUUGGCCUAGAGAA